rnacentral:rRNA from 1 species
AUUGAACGCUGGCGGUAGGCCUAACACAUGCAAGUCGAGCGGAGCGGCGGACGGGUGAGUAAUGCCUAGGAAUCUGCCUGGUAGUGGGGGAUAACGUCCGGAAACGGGCGCUAAAACCGCCUAAUAUACGAUGAGCCUAGGGCGGAUUAGCGAGUUGGUGGGGUAAAGGCCUCACAAGGCGAAGAGCCGGAAAUGGUCUGAGAGGAUGAUCAGUCACACUGAAGUGGAGAAACGGUCCAGACGCCUACGGGAGGCAGCAGUGGGGAAUAUUGGACAAUGGGCGAAAGCCUGAUCCAGCCAGGCCGCGUGUGUGAAGAAGGUCUUCGGAUUGUAAAGCACUUUAAGUUGGGAGGCGUUACCAACAGAAUAAGCACCGGCUAACUUCGUGCCAGCAGCCGCGGUAAUUC